rfam:Rhodnius prolixus Rhodnius_prolixus-3.0.3-16427.1, whole genome shotgun sequence.
GCGCCCUAACUUCGGUGGUACAUAUACUAAAAUUGGAACUAUACAGAGGAGAUUAGCAUGGCCCCAGCGAAAGGAAAACGUCUAUAUUUAGAAGUAAUACAUCACCAAAUUCUU